rnacentral:lncRNA from 1 species
CAGCACCAGACCAAUCUCACUCCUCGCUUAGCCUGCACAUUUAGAAAUACAUGCAGGGCGUGAGUACAUAAUACUCAGUGGGCAAACGCCGAAAAACAAGAAAGGUGCUCUUAGAGCUAUAGGUUUGAAGCUUGCCACAUCUCAGCAAUACACAGGAAUAAGUUAGCGUAAAUGAACCUGUGUAAGCAGUUUUAAUAAUCAUGAUAUCAUAAAGAAACGAUAGCGCUAUCAAAGUACUCAUCAUGUAUGUACCACAUCUACAACUCAUCAUCAUCAAAGGUACUGAGAAGUAGGCCUCCCUCUCAAGUACCGUGACCGGCCGAUUCGCUCAACGGCUCACAGUCACCUCAGUGUACACUAGCCCUGGCAGGAUAGCUAUCAACUGCCCAGGACCCGAAUUCGUCUCAUCUCAUCAGUAGAGGGUAACAUACAAGCUCAACAUCAAAAAUUGGCAAGUCAAACAUUUCUCAACAUCAUUUAUCUCAAAUUAUUUGAUAAGCUCAUAACAUCAUCAAAUCAUCAAAUCAUUUUAGAAAGCUCGGGUAGUAUAUGUAUACUCAAGAUAUUGCCCACCUGAAGACCUUACUCAAAAACUCCCGUCAAAGCGGAGUUACUUACUUCCCUGCUCUGCUCGUGUCUUCAGGGAUCAUCGUCAUCAUCGAAGGUUCAUGUCAUAAAAUGAAUCUCGAUUAGAACUCAACGACAAAAACUCAUGCCUUAACUCAUGCUCUAUCUUAUAUUCUAUCUCUUAAUCGACUCUACAUAAACUUCUUCACUCAUUUCAAAUCCUUAAGUCCAAGGAUAGGUUUCAAGAAAAUCAUGGUUCUAAGUCUCGAUUUAUCUCUCAUAUAAGACUCGUUUAAUCUCAUUAAAACACUUAGGCAACACAAACACAUAAGGCACAUAAGAAAAUACAAUCAAACAUCAACAAAUCAUGUUCUGUUUUCCCACUGACUCAACUUCAAAAUUUAACACGUUCUGACUCCGACAUCUCCUGGACUCCAGACUCAUACCAAAAGAAAGGUAUUUGAGUCUAGUUUCAUUUAAAAAAACGUAGAGUCAGAAACUCCAAGUGGUUUGGGAGAUAUGGCGUUUUUACCACAGUCUACCAUAUUCGGCAGUUUUGAGCAAUCGGAAACAUUGAUUUUUGAAAAAUAGUAAACGUUCUCAAACUGAGCUCAAAUUUGGUGGAUAUCUAGCCCAUACAGUAAGGUUGAUACCAUAAAAAUUUGGAAAGCUAGAUCACACAGGAAGCUACUGAAAUGAAUGACUUUGUCCCCUGUUCUCUGAAAUUCCCGGUAGAAAUGUGCAGAUUUGGUUUUGCAUUUUAUAAAACUAGUAAAUCAAGUCCAAAUGACUUGAAAUUUUACCGGUAUGCUCAAGACUCAUGUAGGGACAUGCUGUAAAAUUUUCAAAGCCAUUAGACAUCGACAACCCGUCGAUCACAGUAGGUCAGUAGCCUACGAAAAAUCACCAAAACUCAUCUCAAACUCUUAAAUGCUCAAUUCAACAUUUCUUCAAAGAAAACCAAUCAAAGUUCAUUUUAAACACAUAUAACACUCAAAAACAUUCAAAAACAUUUAAAAUACUCAUCAUACUCAAAUUAACUCUCCUCUUUUACAUCUUAACUCAAAUCUCAAGGAAAACGUUUCUACAAACGUAUCAAGUCAAUCCUCUUCUCAAUUUCAUGCUUAAAAACACUCAAUCAUUCAAAAUGACCUCAUACAUCAUAUAACUCAUUUUAUACAUAUAAAUCCCCUAUAAUCAUACCAACCAAACUUUAAUAAAAACUCAUAUAUUCACAUAAACUCUCAACAAAAACAUGACAACUUCACAAAAUGGUCAUAAAGCAAAUUAGACCUCAUUUUAUCAAUUAUUGACUUCUCAAAAUAUGAAAACUCAAAAAUUCUCAUAAACUAACUCAAGUCAAAAUUUUACUUAGUUUCCAAUAGACUUAAUCAAACAUAUUAAAACACCAACAUCAUGCUCAAUUACACAUAUCUUAAGCCAAAUCAUUUAUUAAACACAUAGACAAGAAAAUCCCAAUUUUUACCAAACUAAACUCUUUGACAUUUUAUGAACUCACAUGGAUCUUUAAUCUCAUCAUAUAUCUAUUAAUCUUAACCCAUUUAACUCACAUAUAAACCAUCAAUUUACAAAUAAGGGCAUAUAUACACAUAUCCCUAAUUUUAGUAAACUAACUCACAUCAAAAACUCCAAUGGACAUCAUAUACUCAAAUUACUCCAUCAAUCAUCAUCAUAUACAUCUCAUAGACUCAUUUACACCAUCAAUUUAUCUAUUAACUCAUUGACUCAAAAUUUCCCAUUUUUGGGUAAACUAACUUCCAUCGAAAUUUGAAUCUCAAAGCAUAGCUUUUCAAAACACACAUCAAUCAUCACCAAACAUAUCAUAGAUCACUUUUCUCACCCCAAUUCAAGGAAAGAAAAAGAAAUAUUUUUGAAGGGUAAGAUACCCAUUUUUUCGAAAAUUUGAGGAAAAGAAAAGGGGUGAUUUUCUUGCUUCAAUCUUUCAAGAAUACUCAUAUACAAACUCACACAAAUUAUAUCUAUGAAUAUAGAGAUCACUUACCCAAGCUUACACCAAAUAUCAAAUUUUCUCUCUCUAGUCUUGAAGCCAAUCUUCAAGGAUUCUCUUGAAUUCAAGUUGAUAAGAGGUGUUUAGGUGGGAUUUAGAGGGUGAUUUGUGUGUUUGGCAUAUUUUGGUGAAGCUUCGGAGGUCUCAUCCAUGGUUGACAAUGGUGGAAAGUAGAGAGAUGAGGGAGAGAGGGUGUUGGUCGAAUGGAGUGAG